ACGAUGCGUAGGGGUUCUGAGAGGAAGGUCCCCCACAUUGGAACUGAGACACGGUCCAAACUCCUACGGGAGGCAGCAGUGAGGAAUAUUGGUCAAUGGCCGGAAGGCUGAACCAGCCAAGUCGCGUGAGGGAAUAAGGCCCUAUGGGUCGUAAACCUCUUUUGUCAGGGAGCAAAGGCGUCCACGUGUGGACGAGAGGAGAGUACCUGAAGAAAAAGCAUCGGCUAACUCCGUGCCAGCAGCCGCGGUAAUACGGAGGAUGCGAGCGUUAUCCGGAUUUAUUGGGUUUAAAGGGUGCGUAGGCGGAGUGUCAAGUCAGCGGUAAAAUUUCGGGGCUCAACCCCGUCGUGCCGUUGAAACUGACACCCUUGAGUGAGUGAGAAGUAAGCGGAAUGCGUGGUGUAGCGGUGAAAUGCAUAGAUAUCACGCAGAACGCCGAUUGCGAAGGCAGCUUACCGGCGCUCAACUGACGCUGAGGCACGAAAGUGCGGGUAUCGAACAGGAUUAGAUACCCUGGUAGUCCGCACAGUAAACGAUGAAUGCUAGAUGUCCGGGGCGAAUGAGCUCUGG
rnacentral:rRNA from 1 species